GAUGAACGCUAGCUACAGGCCUAACACAUGCAAGUCGAGGGACCGGCGCACGGGUGAGUAAAACGUAUCCAACAUGCCCGUUACUCGGGGAUAGCCUUGCGAAAGAAAGAUUAAUACCCGAUGUCAAGGAUCGGGAUGCGUUCGUUUAGGUUGUUGGUUAGGCAACGGCUCACCAAGCCUUCGAUGUAUAGGGGUUCUGAGAGGAAGGUCCCCCGCAUUGGAACUGAGACACGGUCCAAACUCCUACGGGACGCAGCAGUUAGGAAUAUUGGGCAAUAGGCGUUAGCCUGAACCAGCCAAGUAGCGUGAAGGGUGAAGGCUUAUUGGUCGUAAACUUCUUGUAUAUAAGAAUAUGUAUUAUAUGAAUAAGGAUCGGCUAACUUCGUGCCAGCAGCCGCGGUAAUAC
rnacentral:rRNA from 1 species